rnacentral:misc_RNA from 1 species
GAACGCACAUUGCGCCUUCUGGUAUUCCAGGGGGCAUGCCUGUUCGAGCGUUAUUACAACCCUCAAGCUCUGCUUGGUAUUGGGUGUCACCUUGCUAGGUGCACCUUAAAAUCAGUGGCGGCGCCAUUUAGCUUCAAGCAUAGUAAUACAUCUUGCUUUGGAGGUUAGGUGCGUGCUUGCCAGCAACCCCUAAUUAUCAAAGGUUGACCUCGGAUCAGGUAGGGAUACCCGCUGAACUUAAG